rnacentral:sRNA from 1 species
AUGUACCACUCGUACACUCAAGUUCCUCCGCCCCGUCCACACCCACCUGAUGACUGCUCGCGACGUUUAGUUAGCC